rnacentral:rRNA from 1 species
UACGGGGGGAGCAAGCGUUGUUCGGAUUUACUGGGCGUAAAGGGCGCGUAGGCGGUCAGCACAAGUCAGUUGUGAAAUCUCCGGGCUUAACUCGGAAAGGUCAACUGAUACUGUGCGACUAGAGUGCAGAAGGGGCAACUGGAAUUCUCGGUGUAGCGGUGAAAUGCGUAGAUAUCGAGAGGAACACCUGCGGCGAAGGCGGUUCUCUGGGUAUGUCCUGACGCUGAGGCACGAAGGCCAGGGGAGCAAACGGG